UUUAAACUAUCAACAACAUGGCAUAUACUAUAGCAACACCUUUGCUUUUAUUACUUGGACUCAUAGACAUGCUGUUCUUUCAGCAAUCUGUGGCCUGUAAUUUUGAGGAGGACCCGUCGUGCGGAAUAUAACAUUUGAGUUUCUAACAGCUGCUCAUAUAAUAAGUAUUAAUCCGAAGUACAUUCGUUUGUGCAAAGUGGCUGUUUUACUAAAAAUAAAUAUUUUUGUUGCGAAUGUUA